rnacentral:rRNA from 1 species
GACGACGCUGGCGGCGUGGAUUAGGCAUGCAAGUCGAACGGUAUCAUCCUUCGGGGGUGAGAGAGUGGCGAACUGGUGAGUAACACGUAGGUUAUCUACCUCAAGACGGGGACAACCCAGGGAAACUUGGGCUAAUACCGGAUGUGAGCAACUUUUAGUGUUUGAAAGGUGGCGUAAGCUGUCGCUUGGGGAUGAGCCUGCGUCCUAUUAGUUAGUUGGUGAGGUAACGGCUCACCUAGGCAAUGAUAGGUAGGCGGCCUUAACGGGUGGUCGCCCACACUGGGAUUGAGAUACGGCCCAGACUCCUACGGGAGGCAGCAGUCGAGAAUAGUCUACAAUGGUCGGAAGACUGAUAGUGCGACGCCGCGUGAACGAUGAAUCCCUUCGGGGUGUAAAGUUCUUUUAUAUGUGAGCAGUGCUUCUUAUAUUAACAGUAUGGGGAGAGAGAUAUUAGCAUAUGAAUAAGCAACGGCUAACUCCGUG